rnacentral:rRNA from 1 species
UACGGGGGGGGGCAAGCGUUGUUCGGAAUUACUGGGCGUAAAGGGGACGUAGGCGGCCAACUAAGUCCGACGUGAAAUCCCAAGGCUUAACCUUGGAACUGCGUCGGAUACUGGAUGGCUUGAAUUCGGGAGAGGGAUGCAGAAUUCCAGGUGUAGCGGUGAAAUGCGUAGAUAUCUGGAGGAAUACCGGUGGCGAAGGCGGCAUCCUGGACCGACAUUGACGCUGAAAGCCGAAAGCUAGGGGAGCAAACGGG